rnacentral:rRNA from 1 species
AACGAACGCUGGCGGCAUGCCUAACACAUGCAAGUCGAACGAAGCCUUCGGGCUUAGUGGCGCACGGGUGCGUAACGCGUGGGAAUCUACCCUUUGGUUCGGAAUAACAGUUGGAAACGACUGCUAAUACCGGAUGAUGACGAAAGUCCAAAGAUUUAUGGCCAGAGGAUGAGCCCGCGUAGGAUUAGCUAGUUGGUGUGGUAAAGGCGCACCAAGGCGACGAUCCUUAGCUGGUCUGAGAGGAUGAUCAGCCACACUGGGACUGAGACACGGCCCAGACUCCUACGGGAGGCAGCAGUGGGGAAUAUUGGACAAUGGGCGAACGCCUGAUCCAGCAAUGCCGCGUGAGUGAUGAAGGCCCUAGGGUUGUAAAGCUCUUUUACCCGGGAUGAUAAUGACAGUACCGGGAGAAUAAGCCCCGGCUAACUCCGUGCCAGCAGCCGCCGUAA